rnacentral:rRNA from 1 species
UUUUUGAAGAGUUUGACCCUGGCUCAGGAUGAACGCUAGCGGAACGCCUAACACAUGCAAGUCGAACGAAUUCUGCGUUGUAGCAAUACAUAGUAGAAUUAGUGGCAAACGAGCGAGUAACGCGUACCUAACUUGCCCUCGAGAUGAGAAUAACUACAGAGAUGUAGCUAAUCCUCAAUAUGCUCACAUGAAGUGAAAUUCUUUAGUGAGGAAAGAUUUAUCGCUCGGGGAGAGGGGUGCGUCCUAUCAGGUAGUUGGUUGAGGUAAUGGCUCACCAAGCCUAUGACGGGUAGCCGGUCUGAGAUGAUGUCCGGCCGCGAUGGGACUGAGAUACGGCCCAUACUCC